rnacentral:rRNA from 1 species
UACGUAGGGUGCGAGCGUUAAUCGGAAUUACUGGGCGUAAAGUGUGCGCAGGCGGCCGCGCAAGUCGAGUGUGAAAUCCCCGAGCUUAACUUGGGAAUUGCGCUCGAAACUACGUGGCUGGAGUGUGGCAGAGGAAGGUGGAAUUCCACGUGUAGCGGUGAAAUGCGUAGAGAUGUGGAGGAACACCGAUGGCGAAGGCAGCCUUCUGGGCCAUCACUGACGCUCAUGCACGAAAGCGUGGGGAGCAAACAGG